CUACGGGCUGCUGCAGUGAGGAAUAUUGCACAAUGGGGGGAACCCUGAUGCAGCAACGCCGCGUGGAGGAUGACGCAUUUCGGUGUGUAAACUCCUUUUAUAUGUCAAGAAAAUGACGGUAGCAUAUGAAUGAGCACCGGCUAACUCCGUGCCAGCAGCCGCGGUAAUACGGAGGGUGCAAGCGUUACUCGGAAUCACUGGGCGUAAAGGACGCGUAGGCGGGUUGGAAAGUCAGGUGUGAAAUCCUACAGCGUAACUGUAGAACUGCACUUGAAACUUCUAAUCUAGAGUAUGGGAGGGGGAGAUGGAAUUAGUGGUGUAGGGGUAAAAUCCGUAGAUAUCACUAGGAAUACCUAAAGCGAAGGCGAUCUCCUGGAACAUUACUGACGCUAAUGCGUGAAAGCGUGGGGAGCAAACAGGAUUAGAUACCCGGGUAGUC
rnacentral:rRNA from 1 species